rnacentral:rRNA from 1 species
GAUGAACGCUGGCGGCGUGCCUAAUACAUGCAAGUCGAGCGAAUGGAUUAAGAGCUUGCUCUUAUGAAGUUAGCGGCGGACGGGUGAGUAACACGUGGGUAACCUGCCCAUAAGACUGGGAUAACUCCGGGAAACCGGGGCUAAUACCGGAUAACAUUUUGAACCGCAUGGUUCGAAAUUGAAAGGCCGCUUCGGCUUUCACUUAUGGAUGGAACCGCGUCGCAUUAGCUAGUUGGUGAGGUAACGGCUCACCAAGGCAACGAUGCGUAGCCGACCUGAGAGGGUGAUCGGCCACACUGGGACUGAGACACGGCCCAGACUCCUACGGGAGGCAGCAGUAGGGAAUCUUCCGCAAUGGACGAAAGUCUGACGGAGCAACGCCGCGUGAGUGAUGAAGGCUUUCGGGUCGUAAAACUCUGUUGUUAGGGAAGAACAAGUGCUAGUUGAAUAAGCUGGCACCUUGACGGUACCUAACCAGAAAGCCACGGCUAACUACGUGCCAGCCGCCGCAGUAA